GUGUUUACAUUAAUGAUAUGACAUUUGUGAUCAGAUGUAUGUUAUCACAUAUGUGUUCUUGUUGCAAGGUUUCAAUGGCGGUUCUCGAAUCUGUAUGUAUGAUAACAUGUUGUCGGUGAUGUGUCAAACGUUCUCUCAAGGGCUGAACAUCUGCACUCCCCAAACAUAAAUACCCACGAAGUUAUUUGUACUUUUAUCUUAACUUAAGCUAUUUAUUUUAACGUUAUACAUUAUAUUUUACUGUUCACAAUGAUCUCCAUAAUGACCUUAUCUUGCAUGUGUUUGUCCAGCUACGGAAGGAGGCAAAUUGCCGGUACUGAUUGUUGACGGUAAGACGCUGCCCCAGUCACUGGCCAUCGCUCGCUUCGCUGCCAAGAAAGCCGGACUCGUGCCGGAAGAUGACCUGGAAGCUGCUUUUUGUGACGCUCUUGCCGACACUGCCUUCGAACUGUUAAUGGAGGCACACAGCAUUUGGCACGGAGGGUUCCCAGGCAAGAGUGACGAGCAGAAGCAGCUGAAGGAUAAUUACUUCUCUAACAACAUUGAUCCCUUCAUGACGCGCCUU